rnacentral:rRNA from 1 species
AUUGAACGCUGGCGGCAUGCCUUACACAUGCAAGCCGAACGGCAGCACGGGAGCAAUCCUGGUGGCGAGUGGCGAACGGGUGAGUAAAGUAUCGGAACGUGCCCAGUCGUGGGGGAUAACGUAGCGAAAGUUACGCUAAUACCGCAUACGAUCUAUGGAUGAAAGCGGGGGAUCGCAAGACCUUGCGCGAUUGGAGCGGCCGAUAUCAGAUUAGGUAGUUGGUGGGGUAAAGGCUCACCAAGCCGACGAUCUGUAGCUGGUCUGAGAGGACGACCAGCCACACUGGGACUGAGACACGGCCCAGACUCCUACGGGAGGCAGCAGUGGGGAAUUUUGGACAAUGGGCGAAAGCCUGAUCCAGCCAUGCCGCGUGCAGGAUGAAGGCCUUCGGGUUGUAAACUGCUUUUGUACGGAACGAAAAGGUUUGGGCUAAUAAGCUGAGCUCAUGACGGUACCGUAAGAAUAAGCACCGGCUAACUACGUGCCAGCCGCCGCCGUAA